rnacentral:rRNA from 1 species
CAAUAGCGUAUAUUAAAGUUGUUGCAGUUAAAAAGCUCGUAGUUGGACUUGUGGUGGUUCCUGGGGUCCGCUUUUGGUACUCUGGGGACUGCCAUCCUUGGGUGGAUCUCGUGUGGCAUUAGGUUGUCGUGCGGGGGAUGCCCAUCGUUUACUGUGAAAAAAUCAGAGUGUUAAAGCAGGCUUAUGCCGUUGAAUGUAUUAGCAUGGAAUAAUGAGAUAGGACCUUGGUACUAUUUUGUUGGUUUGCGCACCGAGGUAAUGAUUAAUAGGGACAGUUGUGGGUAUUCGUAUUCCAUUGUCAGAGGUGAAAUUCUUGGAUUUCUGGAAGACGAACUAAUGCGAAAGCAUUUACCAAGGAUGUUUUCAUUAA